CAAGGAGUAGGAGCUUUCUGGGUAGAUGCUGUGCUUCUUUGAGGCUAUUCUUGGUUGUUGGAAGAGCAGCUCAUCAUAAACACUAUCAUUUUUCCUGCCUUGUCCACUGGAGCUGUGCUGUGAUCAUCUUGAAGUCUCCAAGCCAGGAUAUAAAUCUUGUGGAGUGCUAUUCAUGCUGCCACCCACCCAUUAUGAGGGGCCCAACACAUCAUCCGAGAUUAUUCUGACACACAGGGUUUCCAAACUCUAGCAACUGAGUGUUAACAAGGAGGCUACUGGGUUUUACCCCAUCUCCGGGAGUUGAGUUCAGCCUGAGAAAAGAGACUCAAGGGGUCCAAGCUUGCAACAGAUGAAGUUAAGGCAGGCUGAAUGGCAGAGAUUUGGAUGGCUUUCCCAAACUCCAUGUGUUUGUGUGGCUACUCAGUGUCUCAUCAGUAUCUGCAGUAUAAACUGUUAAGUGCCACAGGGGCGUUUACUCUGGGGUAGAGAACUUGGCUAGUGCUGAUGGCUGCUAAGGGUAUGAAAAUGCAGAACAGCUAUCCAUAGAAGUGAGUUUUGAACUCCAGGCUGUUUCAUUUCCAGCUGAGCACAUUUUCCCUUAUUUUCCUGCAUAAAGAGAGAACAUGUUCUCUUGCGUCUAAGUGCCACUCCUUGUCUGCACAAUACAACAGAACAAAUAGCCUAAUCAGACUGAAAUGCAGAGCAUGCUGAAAAACUGGGAACACUUGGGACAUAGUUAGUGAAGGCGAAAGCCUCCCUUGUUGUAGGAAGUGAUAGAUCCCAUAGAAGGAGUUACACAAAUGGAAGGGCAGAACUGGGAGUGAUGCGAAGGACUGAUGAUUAUGGAAGGUGAAUGUUCCUGGGCUCUCCUGUGUAUGGUGGGAUCACCUGCAGGAACACAGCCUGGUGUUGAUCAGAGUGCACGUCUUCCAAUCUCUACUUUCCCAAGAUCAUCCGCCUGCACUAUUUCACCAGAGGAACCCCAUCUCAGUGGCCUCCUCAAAUCCAUUAAAAAGAAAAAUAACUGGAUCCAACCCAAACAGAAAACAGAGCCCUGACAUGGUAGUAAGCCUCUUGCCAGCUUCAGAGGAGACUGCAACAUUCACCCUGUGUGUUUUUGAUCCUCCUAAACACGCAGACAGCAGCUCAGUUAUAUACACACGCACAUUUGUAUGUCUUGCAUUUGCAAAUAAUCUCUGAUGUUGGAGCCUUUCAGACUGCUCUGAGGAAAUACAUAAGCCUGCAGCCCUCACUGCAUUGCCUUUGGUUUACCAAGACCACGACAGUUUCUGAAGGGUACCAGCAGCUUAGUUCCCUUUCCCAGUAACAGAGGUGCUUUGGCCACCUCUUAUCAAAGUUCCUCCUUUCCUUAAACAGCAAAUAAUUACUUCUGAUAUUAUCCCCACCAUAUAUGCUCAUUUAACUGGCCUGCAAUUGCCCCUACCACUCUUCACUCCAAUUGGGUUUUUUCCACUAGCCAACUUCCAGAGAUGUUGGCUCAGGUUUUCAGGGCUUCCUAUUAACAUUCUCUGUGCUUGUGCUGUCUUAGGGGAAAGUAUCUUGGCUGGGUGCUACUGCACUGUUGGAAGAGGCCAACAAAACUAGCUGAUCCUGUACUGUGGUCAGUGGAGAGGACUCCAAAACUUAUACUGCAUGGUUCCUUGGUUUUCCUAAACAUGUGAUUUCCUAAAAAAUGUAGGUAUUCAAACUUGCUAAGCUGGCUUCUUUGAUGCCUGCUAAGAGUGGACUUCUUAGGACAAUUCCAAUGUUAUCACUUGGUCAUUUGUUUUCAUACAGCUCAUAAGAGCUUAAGAAUUCUGCAUCCUCUUUUUGACAAAGGCGGCUGGCUUUGUUAUGUUAUUCAGCGCAUCUCAUAGACUUUUAAACAGAUCUUGCAUAGAUAAGCACUGUAGUUUAGGAAAGCAAGCUAGAAAGGGAGAAGAAGAUUUUUUCAUUGUUGAAAUACAUUUUGGGACAGGGUUUGAAGCCUUCCAGCUUUCCAGCCAAAUUAAGUGAAAGCAGAAAGCAAAAAUAGCCUGUAGAAUGACAGUGAGCUUCCAGCACUUGUAACAGAAUGCUUUUGUUUGUUAUAAAGAGACUAUUGGCUAUUUUAGUAGCCAUUAGUCAAGGUAUAUUAAUAACAUAUUGCAUAGUUUUAAAGAUUCCUGGUUUUUAAAAAUCUUCAUUUGCAAAAUUGAAAACCUUACAGAUCUCUUUUUGCUUUUCCUCCUGUUUAAUGUAAA